ACAGAGCAUGCGCACACUUCAUUGUUUUGUGCUGUUCGGUACCAAGAGAGAACAUGUGGAAUUCUGUUCGGACAGGACAGAACAACGACUUUCAUUCUGCGAAAAUGGCUAAAAUAUCGUUGCUGAGAGUGCUUCUCAAUGAAAGAUUAACAGCAGUUGCUGAUGAGAUAUUUGGGGCUGUUGAAAAAACGGUGGCAGAGUACCAGGAAGAAAUCUAUCGUUCUAAGGAGGAGAACGAGAAGCUACGGAGGCUGCUUGAUAUCGUUCUUAAACCAGAUAUAAAGUUGCAUAGAUCGGACCCACAGCAGCUCACUGUCUCUGAAAAGGUUCCCCCUGAGCAGCAGCACUGUGAACAGGACUUGAGCCCCAGUCUGGGGCAGGAGGUCCCAGAGGCCACACAGAUUAAUGAGCAGGAGCUCAGGACCAGUCACGGGAGAGAGCAGCUUCAUGCUCUGGAGUCAAAAGACCCUAAUGUUAUAUUCACAAUUGCUUGUGUCAAAAGCUUGUGCCAGAAUCCGGUCUCAACUGAGCCUUCACAUAUUUACCAAACCCAAAGUGUGGAAUAUGAACUGGGACCCUCUCUACCAAGCACUUCAACGGAACAGAUCAAAACAGAACCUGAUGGAGAGGGCUACAUGUCAUUAGAACCAACCAGUGAACCUCAGCCCCUCUCUGCAUUUCAUCACUAUUCUGCAGUUCAGCGUGAAAACAGAAUACUCCUCAGUGUGGCAAGUGGAGAGCUUCCAUCAGGGUCAAAGCCAUCGGAAUCAAAGAGAGCACGGGUCAGUCAAAUUGGUACUGCUGGUCUUCAUUGGGGCACGUUAUGUGGGGAUUCCUUUCACACCACGUUUUCUGUUAUGACCAGAGUGCAUGCUAGUGAGAGAGAACCUGUCUGUGGUGUGUGUGUGUGUGUGUAGAAUGCUUUAAAUCAAAACAAAGUUUAAUAGAUCAUCUUGAAACUAACGUUGACACACAUUUGAUUAAAUGGAAAUGUCUUCUUUUUUUUUUCUUUUUUUUUUUGCACAUAUGUCUCUUGCAAAUAUAAUCUGAACCUGCACAUGGAGACUCAUGAUGAGAAAUCUUUCCAGUGCCAGGUCUGUGAUGAUUGCUGUAAGGAUCGAGGCCCCGCUGCUGCCACAGCAAGCCAGUCCCUGGACCCUACUCUUUCCUCACCACCUUUCCACUGCCCAGCUGUGCCCCGUUCCAUUGCAUGGCGCCAAAAGAGGAAGGGGGAGGAAUAUGCACAUGCCCAGCAGCAGGGCGCUCUUUACCCAAAACGCUCAAAUGUAUACCGCUCGAAGGUACAUCCUGACAUUUCCAUUCCUCAUCUGACACCAGAAUAUGACGAACUGCUCACCAACCGCAGCGGGGGCCGUCCGGACCGCUAUGCUGUUUUGCUAUUCCGUGCAUGCGUAAGCGAAGAGAGAUACCGCGAGUGGGAACAGAAUACCAACUGGGAUGGAUCACGAGGAAAAUUUGGCUUGCCAGUGAACCUCCGAAUGUUCAUCAGGACCACUGUGUCUCAAAAGUUUCCUUCCAUGAGUGAUGUAACCCGAAAAAACAUAAAAGACAGAGUAAAUGAGUACUUGAGGUCACCGAGGAAGUCUGGACAUGGACUGCUCUCGCUUAUCUAAGGAAUUAGGCAUAUUUCAGACCGUUCUCAUAAUCACUUCCUUUCCUAGCUGAGGUGAUUACAAACAGCUGCCUACAGUAUGUACAGAAACUCUCAUUGUCCUGUUUGUCACACUGUACAGUACCUUAAUGCGAAUCUGCAUUUUGAAAUACAAAAAAACUAAAUGAA